GACGAACGCUGGCGGCGUGCUUAACACAUGCCAGUCGAACGGAAAGGCCCUGCUUUUGUGGGGUGCUCGAGUGGCGAACGGGUGAGUAACACGUGAGUAACCUGCCCUUGACUUUGGGAUAACUUCAGGAAACUGGGGCUAAUACCGGAUAGGAGCUCCUGCUGCAUGGUGGGGGUUGGAAAGUUUCGGCGGUUGGGGAUGGACUCGCGGCUUAUCAGCUUGUUGGUGGGGUAGUGGCUUACCAAGGCUUUGACGGGUAGCAGGCCUGAGAGGGUGACCGGCCACAUUGGGACUGAGAUACGGCCCAGACUCCUACGGGAGGCAGCAGUGGGGAAUAUUGCACAAUGGGCGGAAGCCUGAUGCAGCAACGCCGCGUGCGGGAUGACGGCCUUCGGGUUGUAACCCGCUUUCGCCUGUGACGAAGCGUGAGUGACGGUAAUGGGUAAAGAAGCACCGGCUAACUACGUG
rnacentral:rRNA from 1 species